GAAAUGCGAUAAGUAGUGUAAAUUGCAGAAUUUAGUAAAUCAUCGAAUCUUUAAACGCACAUUGCGCCCCUUAGUAUUCUAUAGGGCAUGCCUGUUCAAGCGUUAUUUGUACCCUUAAGCUCUGCUUGGUGUUAGGCGUUUGUCAAACGACUUGCCUUAAAACAAUUGGCAGCUAGCAUACUAGCCUAAAGCGCAGCACAUUUUGCGCCUCUUGUUAUUGCGUUAGCAUCUAUCAAGAUCUUUUGCUCUUAACCUCGGAUUAGGUAGGGAUACCCGCUGAACUUAA
rnacentral:misc_RNA from 1 species